rnacentral:rRNA from 1 species
UGGGGAAUAUUGGACAAUGGGCGCAAGCCUGAUCCAGCCAUGCCGCGUGAGUGAUGAAGGCCCUAGGGUUGUAAAGCUCUUUCACCGGUGAAGAUAAUGACGGUAACCGGAGAAGAAGCCCCGGCCAACUUCGUGCCAGCAGCCGCGGUAAUACGAAGGGGGCUAGCGUUGUUCGGAUUUACUGGGCGUAAAGCGCACGUAGGCGGACUUUUAAGUCAGGGGUGAAAUCCCGUGGCUCAACCCCGGAACUGCCUUUGAUACUGGAAGUCUUGAGUAUGGUAGAGGUGAGUGGAAUUCCGGGUGUAGAGGUGAAAUUCGUAGAUAUUAGGAGGAACACCAGUGGCGAAGGCGGCUCACUGGACCAUUACUGACGCUGAGGUGCGAAAGCGUGGGGAGCAAACAGG